CCUACGGGAGGCAGCAGUGAGGAAUAUUGGUCAAUGGACGAGAGUCUGAACCAGCCAAGUAGCGUGAAGGAUGACGGCCCUAUGGGGUGUAAACUUCUUUUAUAAAGGAAUAAAACGAGGCACGUGUGCCUUUUUGCAUGUACUUUAUGAAUAAGGAUCGGCUAACUCCGUGCCAGCAGCCGCGGUAAUCCGGAGGAUCCGAGCUUUAUCCGGAUUUAUGUGGUUUAAAGGGUGCGUAGAUGGGUUGUUAAGUCAGUUGUGAAAGUUUGCGGCUCAACCGUAAAAUUGCAAUUGAAACUGGCAGUCUUGAGUACAGUUGAGGUAGGCGGAAUUCGUGGUGUAGCGGUGAAAUGCUUAGAUAUCACGAAGAACCCCGAUUGCGAAGGCAGCUUACUAAACUGUGACUGACAUUGAUGCUCGAAAGUGUGGGUAUCAAACAGGAUUAGAUACCCCAGUAGUC
rnacentral:rRNA from 1 species